rnacentral:rRNA from 1 species
GAUGAACGCUAGCGGCAGGCUUAACACAUGCAAGUCGAGGGGUAGAAGGAGCUUGCUCCUUUGAGACCGGCGCACGGGUGCGUAACGCGUAUGCAAUCUACCUUUUGCAGAGGGAUAGCCCAGAGAAAUUUGGAUUAAUACCUCAUAGUAUGUGAGGAUGGCAUCAUUUUCACAUUAAAGUCACAACGGCAAAAGAUGAGCAUGCGUCCCAUUAGCUAGUUGGUAAGGUAACGGCUUACCAAGGCUACGAUGGGUAGGGGUCCUGAGAGGGAGAUCCCCCACACUGGUACUGAGACACGGACCAGACUCCUACGGGAGGCAGCAGUGAGGAAUAUUGGACAAUGGGCGCAAGCCUGAUCCAGCCAUGCCGCGUGCAGGAUGACGGUCCUAUGGAUUGUAAACUGCUUUUUAUACAGGAAGAAACACUAACUUCGUGAAGUAGCUUGACGGUACUGUAAGAAU